rnacentral:rRNA from 1 species
AUUGAACGCUGGCGGCAUGCUUUACACAUGCAAGUCGAACGGCAGCGCGGGCUUUGGCCUGGCGGCGAGUGGCGAUCGGGUGAGUAAUACAUCGGAACGUGCCCAGUAGUGGGGGAUAGCUCGGCGAAAGCCGGAUUAAUACCGCAUACGACCUGAGGGUGAAAGCGGGGGAUCUUCGGACCUCGCGCUAUUGGAGCGGCCGAUGGCAGAUUAGCUAGUUGGUGGGGUAAAGGCCUACCAAGGCGACGAUCUGUAGCUGGUCUGAGAGGACGACCAGCCACACUGGGACUGAGACACGGCCCAGACUCCUACGGGAGGCAGCAGUGGGGAAUUUUGGACAAUGGGCGAAAGCCUGAUCCGGCAAUGCCGCGUGUGUGAUGAAGGCCUUCGGGUUGUAAAGCACUUUUGGCGGGAACGAAAAGGACUGUGCCAAUACCACGGUUCGAUGACGGUACCCGCAGAAUAAGCACCGGCUAACUACGUG